AUACUUACCUGCCAGGAGAGAUGCCAGGAUCACCAGGGUGGUUUUCCCAGGGCGAGGCUUAUCCAUUGCACUCCCGAUGUGCUGACCCUGCGAUUUCCCCAAAUGUGGGAAACUCGACUGCAUCAUUUGUGGUAGUGGGGGACGGUUCGCGCUCUCCAC
rnacentral:snRNA from 1 species